rnacentral:rRNA from 1 species
GAUGAACGCUGGCGGCGUGCUUAACACAUGCAAGUCGAGCGAAGCACUCUGCUUUGAUUCUUUCGGGAUGAAGAGCAUUGUGACUGAGCGGCGGACGGGUGAGUAACGCGUGGGUAACCUGCCUCAUACAGGGGGAUAACAGUUAGAAAUGGCUGCUAAUACCGCAUAAGACCACAGCACCGCAUGGUGCAGGGGUAAAAACUCCGGUGGUAUGAGGUGGACCCGCGUCUGAUUAGCUAGUUGGUGGGGUAACGGCCUACCAAGGCGACGAUCAGUAGCCGACCUGAGAGGGUGACCGGCCACAUUGGGACUGAGACACGGCCCAAACUCCUACGGGAGGCAGCAGUGGGGAAUAUUGCACAAUGGGGGAAACCCUGAUGCAGCGACGCCGCGUGAGCGAAGAAGUAUUUCGGUAUGUAAAGCUCUAUCAGCAGGGAAGAAAAUGACGG